AGCGAACGCUGGCGGCAGGCUUAACACAUGCAAGUCGAGCGGGCAUCCUUGUGGUGUCAGCGGCAGACGGGUGAGUAACGCGUGGGAACGUGCCCUUCGGUUCGGAAUAACUCAGGGAAACUUGAGCUAAUACCGGAUACGUGCGAGAGCAGAAAGGUUUAUCUGCCGAAGGAUCGGCCCGCGUCUGAUUAGCUAGUUGGUGAGGUUAUGGCUCACCAAGGCGACGCUCAGUAGCUGGUCUGAGAGGAUGAACAGCCACACUGGGACUGAGACACGGCCCAGACUCCUACGGGAGGCAGCAGUGGGGAAUAUUGGACAAUGGGGGCAACCCUGAUCCAGCCAUGCCGCGUGAGUGAUGACGGCCUUAGGGUUGUAAAGCUCUUUUCUCCGGGACGAUAAUGACGGUACCGGAGGAAUAAGCCCCGGCUAACUUCGUG
rnacentral:rRNA from 1 species